AUUUAUGUAGUUUAAAUAAAACAUUACAUUUUCACUGUAAAAAUAUUAUUUAUAAUCAUAAAUU
rnacentral:tRNA from 1 species